GUAAAACGUGCCAUGCAAUGGUGUAGAGUUGGACCCAUCCCCCAGCAACGUCAAAAUGCAGAAGGAAAAGCCAGUUUGCGCACGUCUUUCAUAAUCGAAGGUCACGGAGAUCAUUAUGUAAAACGCGUCAUGCAGUGCUGUAGAGGUUGGGUAAGAACGAGACGUGUUACUUCAUCAUCAAUUUGGUGCAAUAGCUGCAAGGCUUAAAAGGUGGGUCAGGGUGAGCAAAAGUCGUAUAAAACGAGAGAGAAAAGGCGAUCUGACAUCAGUCGAGUGAGCAUCUCCGACACGGCAACAACUGCAGCGCACUACAGGUCACCAAAUGCCUUCUUCGUCGUAUUACAUCAGUUCACAAUCAUGGUUAACUAUGGCAUUGUGAUGCUGUCGGGUGUUUUAUCGUUGAUGGCUGCGGCAACCACAAGUGUACUGAUGUCUCCUGGGUAUGGUGGAUACCAAGCAACAGCACCGAAAGAAGACUACACCACGUGACCGCCUCACUACAAAAAAAAAGGUUAACGUACGCAACACCUACUUACUACACCGAGGCCCCCCAACUAGUACACCACCGAGGCUUCAGAGUAUUACACGAAAACAUAUGCUGCCCCGAGCUACUACAUCGAAGCCACCAAGUAUUACUCUGCCCCGAGAUACAUCACCAAAGCGCUUGAGUACUAUACCGAGGCUCAAGUUCAUUACACCACUAAAGCUGUCAAAUACUACACCGAAGCGCCCAAGUACUACAAUGCAACAUAGACUGCCCCAGCUUAGUACACCGAGGCAGCGGAGCAGCGGAGUACUACUACACCACCACCGAGGCACCGGAGUACUACACAACUACUUACGCCACUCCGACUUACUACACCGAAGCACUACUCUACCCAGAGUUACUACACUACUAAAGCUUCUGAAUAUUAUACCACAACCAACGCUUCCCCAACUUACUACGAGAAGGCUCCUUAAUACUAGAGUCGAAAUUUCUAUUUGUUAAUCAUUUAAAUUCGUCGGUUAUCUUCAUGGUUACUAGUGACUGAAUUGAUUGUUGAUCUUAAACGAGAAAAUAAA